CCAAAAACUUUGAAAAGAUAAGUACAAAUUAGAGUGAUUGUGUAGAGAGCUAACGUGAGGUGAAAGUUAGCAUCAUAAAAAUUUGGAAAAUGGUCUUGGAGUUAAAUUGAUAUGAGCUUAAUGUGAGUAAAUGUCAUUCGGGUGCGCCCGUUAUCGCGUUAAGGUAUAUUUCUUUUGAUGUACCUGUCAAGUAUAAAGUAGUGAUACUUUAUAGAAUUUGGGUGGUAACACGAGUUUUUCGUCCCAUAA
rnacentral:ncRNA from 1 species